UUGUUUUUUUUUUUUUGAAGAAAAGUAAAUUUUUUCUGUGUUGAUACACACACAAAUCAAAUAUGAAAAAUGAUACGUGUGUGCAUGAUGGUGUGACCAUUAGAAAUUUUGCAAAAAUCUGACACAUUUGUCAGUUGUUUGAUGCUGACAAUGAUAAAAUCUGACUUUCAUAUAGCCUACGGUUAGUAAGAGAAAAAAAAAUUCCUACGCUAUUAGCCUGCGUGAUCAGCUUCGGUUCUGUCAACCCUACAGGACCAUGCGCUGUGACCAGCCUGGGUUGCCAUGCUUGUUGCUAGGUCCCGUCAAAAGGUCAGCAUGGUCACAUGGUGACAUUUUCUUGGCUCAUGAACAAUUUGAGCAAUGAUAAUUUAGAGGUUUACACUGCCUCUUAUUUUAUACAUAACAUAUGUAUUUAUUAUAUUAUUAUAAAAAAUACCAGCGCCAUAUAUAAUAGCUGGUCGAAUUAUUGAUUUGUGGUGACGUGGUGAUAUAUUUAUAAAUCAGAAUUCGUUUCUUAAUUUAAUUAAUUUCAAAAUUGAAAUAUUUCUAUUUUUCAUCAUUAAUUCCAACUAUCAACAUUGAUUUGAUGUUUUUUUGUUAGAUUUGUUUUUUUUUUUGUUUACUUGUCAACAAACACAAUCAUGAAACGAUCAAACUCGGAAAAUCAAUUGCCAACUUUUUCUCAAAGUUAUCAGCGACAAAGAUUUUUAAAUAAACUUCAAAAAAGAAAUGAAAAAAUGAUAGAUUUUGUAAAUAAAGUUUUAAAUUUCAACGAUCCUCAAGUCACUGAAUCACGAGUCUCUGAAUCACAUUCUUUUAUUGAAAAUUCAGCUGAAAUUAACAAUGUUGAUAAACCAGGAAUUAUAUUCGAUAAUAAAAAUGCCCUACAAAAUUAUGCAUCUGAUAGCAAAAGCGAAGAAAAUAAUGGUGAUAUCAUGCAAGAACAGGCAAAAAAUGAAGAAAUUGAAAUUGAUAGUCCAGAUGAAGAUGAACAGUGCCAGUGCCAACAUUCUUGUUGCGCCAACUUAAAAAAACAAAUUAAAAAAUUAACAGAUAAAUUGGAAAGAAUUGAGUCCUCGUUUGAAAAUGAAAUGAAAAAAAUCCGUCGAUAAUAGAUUAUGCCGUAAAAAAACGGUUUGACAAUUGGAGCCAAUUAUCAAUCCAAAAAAAAAAUUGCCAAAACAACAUCCACAUUAACCCAAAAUCUAUCCAUCCAAUUCUUAUGAAUUAAAAGCGUUUCAUUCUACGUUUAAUUAGCUUUAAAAUGAUAAAACAGUAUUUAUGUUAUUAAAUAAAUAUAAUUUUUGUGGAAA